GUAAAGGUGGUGGGGCACAGCCCAGAGGAAGUCCUUCCUGCAAGGGGAAGGACCUGACAGGAUCCUGGUCAGCUGGCUGUCACCAGGAAGUCUCAGGCUGGGUGUCCAAAGGCUGGUGUUACUGGACCCUUGGCAUCCUGGUCUCAUUCUGGAGGUGACAG